rnacentral:rRNA from 1 species
AGGGCCGCGGUAAUUUGACCGUGCGAAGGUAGCAUAAUCAGUAGUCUUUUAAUUGGAGGCUUGUAUGAAUGGUUGGAUGAGGGACAUUCUGUCUCUUUUUUAAGGUAGAAUUUAACUUUUAAGUGAAAAGGCUUAAAUUUUUUGGAGUGACGAUAAGACCCUAUAAAACUUUAUACAUCUUUGUCUCAGUUGAAAAUUAAGUUUAACUUGGUUGUGGUUUAGUUGUAUUUCGUUGGGGAAACGUUGAUAUAAGUUGUAAUUGUUCUUGAAAUUUAAUAGUUGUGGCUAGGUUGUGAUCCUUUCUUGUGGAUUAAAAGAUUAAGUUACUUUAGGGAUAACAGCGUAAUUUUCUUUGAGAGUUCUUAUCGACAAGAGUAGUUGCGACCUCGAUGUUGAAUUAAAAUUUCGGGUUAGUGUAGCCGCUUGCCUAGUAGGUCUGUUCGACCUUUAAAUUUUU